AUGUGGCAGAUGCGACCUGUUUUGAUGUUUUUGUCAGGUACCGGUACUCAUUUGCAUCACCGCAUAUUCACAUCAAAGCAGCAUAAUUGGUUAAGUUCAAUGAUGAUGUCACUUUUUCCAAACAUGAAAGUACACUGUGCUCAUCAACCCAGUCACUCGUGUCAACCAAUCAGAUUCCUCAGCCAAGUAGAAUUCUUGCUCAAAAGUAGCAAAAAUAAGUCCACUUGAAAUUAAAUCUGGUUCGGUUUUCUUACAGAUUUGAAGAAGCAAACAAUGCAAAUAAUUCAUGACAACAAUGUUUACUGCUAUUGGACCACCUGCUUGAAAUAAA